GAUCAUGGCUCAGAUUGAACGCUGGCGGCAUGCCUUACACAUGCAAGUCGAACGGUAGAGUAGCAAUACUUGAGAGUGGCGAACGGGUGAGUAAUAUAUCGGAACGUGCCCAGUCGUGGGGGAUAACGUAGAGAAAUUUACGCUAAUACCGCAUACGAUCUAAGGAUGAAAGCGGGGGAUUCGCAAGAACCUCGCGCGAUUGGAGCGGCUGAUAUCAGAUCAGGUUGUUGGUGAGGUAAAAGCUCACCAAGCCGACGAUCUGUAGCUGGUUUGAGAGGACGACCAGCCACACCGGGACUGAGACACGGCCCAGACUCCUACGGGAGGCAGCAGUGGGGAAUUUUGGACAAUGGGCGAAAGCCUGAUCCAGCCAUGCCGCGUGUGUGAAGAAGGUCUUCGGAUUGUAAAGCACUUUAAGUUGGGAGGAAGGGUAGUAACCUAAUACGUUGCUACUUUGACGUUACCGACAGAAUAAGCACCGGCUAACUUCGUG
rnacentral:rRNA from 1 species